rnacentral:rRNA from 1 species
CCUACGGGGGGCAGCAGUGAGGAAUAUUGGUCAAUGGCCGGAAGGCUGAACCAGCCAUGCCGCGUGAGGGAUGAAGGUCUUCGGAUCGUAAACCUCUGUCAGCAGGGAAGAACGGUCACUGUGCUAAUCAGCAGUGAAUUGACGGUACCUGCAAAGGAAGCACCGGCUAACUCCGUGCCAGCAGCCGCGGUAAUACGGAGGGUGCGAGCGUUAAUCGGAAUUACUGGGCGUAAAGCGCUCGUAGGCGGUAUGUCAAGUCAAGGGUGAAAUCCCCGCGCUCAACGUGGGAACUGCCUUUGAAACUGGCAAACUUGAGUGUGUGAGAGGAUAGUGGAAUUCCAGGUGUAGGAGUGAAAUCCGUAGAUAUCUGGAGGAACAUCAGUGGCGAAGGCGACUAUCUGGCACAUAACUGACGCUGAGGAGCGAAAGCGUGGGUAGCAAACAGGAUUAGAUACCCCUGUAGUC